CUCCAUAAAAGAACACGUAAUUAGCACGUCUCAAACACAUGUAAGUUCUAGGGAAGAUAGAGUCUUAAAAAACUGGAGUAUAAAUUAAAACAGAAGUGGGAGAGUUUGCAGAAAAAGAACGUAGGAGAGAAACGUUCAGAAUUUAAAAGAGGCAGUAUACGUUUUUGGAAAUUUGCAGAAGUCAUUUAGAAACAUUUAGAAUGCCUAGUAAAAUAGUUUUGGUCAGGCGUAGAAAAGGAACAAACGUGAAAGCAUUUUUUAUUGAGAUUGCUGAAGUGCAAAGAAAAACGGUAAACAUACAUGAUUUUUGAGCUUUUGAAAACUAGUACCCAGAUAGUUGAAAUAGUGUUCCAAACCUGGACAAGAAAAUACUGUAGAAACCGUUUGCAUGGAUGGUUUAAAAUGUGUCAGAAGUUUGUAAAAAAAAGAAGAGGUCUUCAGAAAAUAAACGAAU
rnacentral:lncRNA from 1 species